UACGGAGGAUCCGAGCGUUAUCCGGAUUUAUUGGGUUUAAAGGGAGCGUAGGCGGAUUGUUAAGUCAGUUGUGAAAGUUUGCGGCUCAACCGUAAAAUUGCAGUUGAUACUGGCAGUCUUGAGUGCAGUAGAGGUGGGCGGAAUUCGUGGUGUAGCGGUGAAAUGCUUAGAUAUCACGAAGAACUCCGAUUGCGAAGGCAGCUCACUGGAGUGUAACUGACGCUGAUGCUCGAAAGUGUGGGUAUCAAACAGGAUUAGAUACCCCGGUAGUCCGCACUACU
rnacentral:rRNA from 1 species